rnacentral:rRNA from 1 species
ACGAACGCUGGCGGCGUGCUUAACCCAUGCAAGUCGAACGGAAAGGCCCUGCUUUUGUGGGGUGCUCGAGUGGCGAACGGGUGAGUAACACGUGAGUAACCUGCCCUUGACUUUGGGAUAACUUCAGGAAACUGGGGCUAAUACCGGAUAGGAGCUCCUGCUGCAUGGUGGGGGUUGGAAAGUUUCGGCGGUUGGGGAUGGACUCGCGGCUUAUCAGCUUGUUGGUGGGGUAGUGGCUUACCAAGGCUUUGACGGGUAGCCGGCCUGAGAGGGUGACCGGCCACAUUGGGACUGAGAUACGGCCCAGACUCCUACGGGAGGCAGCAGUGGGGAAUAUUGCACAAUGGGCGGAAGCCUGAUGCAGCAACGCCGCGUGUGGGAUGACGGCCUUCGGGUUGUAAACCGCUUUCGCCUGUGACGAAGCGUGAGUGACGGUAAUGGGUAAAGAAGCACCGGCUAACUACGUG